GGAACUUCCGCCCUGAGGGUGGCUGUUCUCUGCGGACUCUGUGACGGGCAAUGAGUCUUGACUUGUGGGAGAGGCCCUUCCCGCCUGCGGUGCGUUUGCGGGGUUCCUCGUUACUGUGGGCUCCUUGGUCGGCAUUAAGGGCUUGGGCACGGCUUACGGCUUCUCGGCACCGGUUACAGUGGCGUGGGCGCGCCCCGGCACGGGGAGGGUCCAGCUUCGAGUAGAGAAACAGGUUCCCCUGUGCAUCGUAUUCGAACCUCCUCCUCGCAAGGUACGCGCUGGGAGUGACAGUGACGUCCGCCUUGCCCGGCAAGGCGGCGCCGCACGACUCACACCGUGGGGCCUGUUGUUCUGAAGGGACGACGUCUGUGUCCUGAGAGGUGUUUUUUCCAACCGUGUUAGGAGCACCAUGAAAGUGUUAGUCACUCAGUCGUGUCCGACUCUGCCACCCCAUGGACUACCGUAGUUCACCCGACUCCUCUGUCCAAGGAUUCUCCAGGCAAGAAUACUGGAGUUGGUUGCUGUUCCCUUCCCCAGGGCAUCUUCCCGACCCAGGGGUCGAACCUUGGUCUCUUGCAUUGCAAGCAGUUUCUUUACCAACUGAGCCUUCAGGAGCACACGGUAGGACUAAACUAUUUCAGAAACGUUUGGGAAAAAAUAAAAAGUAAAACUUUUUU
rnacentral:lncRNA from 1 species